GAGGAAGCAUAGAAAACAAUAAGCACUGCUAAUCCUUAUUUCCAAGGUUAAAAUCCUUGGCUCCCUUG
rnacentral:tRNA from 1 species